GAUGAACGCUGGCGGCGUGCCUAAUACAUGCAAGUCGAGCGAACAGACGAGGAGCUUGCUCCUCUGACGUUAGCGGCGGACGGGUGAGUAACACGUGGAUAACCUACCUAUAAGACUGGGAUAACUUCGGGAAACCGGAGCUAAUACCGGAUAAUAUAUUGAACCGCAUGGUUCAAUAGUGAAAGACGGUUUUGCUGUCACUUAUAGAUGGAUCCGCGCCGCAUUAGCUAGUUGGUAAGGUAACGGCUUACCAAGGCAACGAUGCGUAGCCGACCUGAGAGGGUGAUCGGCCACACUGGAACUGGGACACGGUCCAGACUCCUACGGGAGGCAGCAGUAGGGAAUCUUCCGCAAUGGGCGAAAGCCUGACGGAGCAACGCCGCGUGAGUGAUGAAGGUCUUCGGAUCGUAAAACUCUGUUAUUAGGGAAGGACAAAUGUGUAAGUAACUAUGCACGUCUUGACGGUACCUAAUCAGAAAGCCACGGCUAACUACGUG
rnacentral:rRNA from 1 species